CCUUCUUUUCAAGGGGUGUCAGUGGUUCCCUUCCUUUGGGCACGUAAGAAUUGGAGGAAAGAAAUGUGGACUUGGAGAAUCCGUGGUCAGCUUGCUCCUUGCAGGCUCAAGAUCAACCAUGCUGCAUAG